rnacentral:lncRNA from 1 species
GGAACGAUCAUGGAGGGGAGGAUACUAUGGUUCCUUAGGUCUUAUUUUAUAGUCCGGUAAAAUUUUAGGCCAUAGGGGUCAGGAGGCCACGGGACCACUCGGAAGGCGUGGGCUAUAACACACAAAAAUAUGGGAAUCGCGCGGAAUUCUAGUUGUUUGGCCGAAAAACGCAAAAAUGAGGAACGAUCAUGGCGGGGCGGAUACUAUGGUUCCUUAGGUCGUAUUUGAUAGUCCGGAAAAAAUUUAGGCGAUAGAGGUCAGGAGGUCCCGGGACCACUCGGAAGGCGUGGGCUAUAACACACAAAAAUAUGGGAAUCGCGCGGAAUUCUAGUUGUUUGGCCGAAAACACAAAAAAUGAGGAACGAUCAUGGCGGGGCAGAUAAUACGGUUCCUUAGGUCGUAUUUGAUAGUCCGGAAAAAUUUUAGGCGAUAGGGGUCAGGAGGUCCCGGGACCACUCGGAAGGUGUGGGCUAUAUAGUACACUAAAAUAUGGGAAUCACGCGGAAUUCUAGUUGUUUGGCAGAAAAACGCAAAAAAUAAGGAACGAUCAUGGCGGGGCGGAUACUAUGGUUCCUUAGGUAGUAUUUGAUUGCCCGGAAAUAUUUUAGGCGAUCGGGGUCCGCGGCUCUUGGGACCACUCGGAAGGCGUGGGCAAUAUGCACACAAAAAUAUGGUAAUCGAGCGGAAUUC